CAUUAGAGGGCAGACAUGGCCUCUGGAGAUGCUGAGAUGGCCGUUUUUGGGGAGGCCGCUCCUUACCUCCGAAAAUCGGAAAAGGAGAGAAUUGCAGCCCAAAACAAACCUUUUGAUGCCAAGUCAUCUGUCUUUGUGGCUCAUCCCAAGGAAUCCUUUGUGAAAGGGACAAUCCAGAGCAGGGAAUCAGGCAAAGUCACUGUCAAGACUGAAGGGGGAGAGACCCUGACGGUGAAGGAAGACCAAGUCUUCUCCAUGAACCCUCCCAAGUAUGACAAGAUCGAGGACAUGGCCAUGAUGACCCACCUCCACGAACCCGCCGUGCUGUACAACCUCAAAGAGCGUUACGCAGCCUGGAUGAUCUACACCUACUCGGGUCUCUUCUGCGUCACUGUCAACCCCUACAAGUGGCUGCCGGUGUACAACCCCGAGGUGGUGUUGGCCUACCGAGGCAAGAAGCGCCAGGAGGCCCCUCCACACAUCUUCUCCAUCUCUGACAACGCCUAUCAGUCCAUGCUGACUGAUCGGGAGAACCAGUCCAUCCUGAUCACCGGAGAAUCCGGUGCUGGGAAGACUGUGAACACAAAGCGUGUCAUCCAGUACUUUGCAACAAUUGCAGCCAGUGGGGACAAGAAGAAGGAGGAACAUGCAUCAGGCAAAAUGCAGGGGACGCUUGAGGAUCAAAUCAUCAGCGCCAACCCACUGCUGGAGGCCUUUGGAAACGCCAAGACCGUGAGGAAUGACAACUCCUCACGUUUUGGUAAAUUCAUCAGAAUCCAUUUUGGUGCCACAGGCAAACUGGCUUCUGCUGACAUUGAAACAUAUCUGCUGGAGAAGUCCAGAGUCACUUUCCAGCUCAAGGCGGAAAGGAGCUACCACAUCUUUUAUCAGAUCAUGUCCAACAAGAAGCCAGAGCUAAUUGACAUGCUUCUCAUCACCACCAACCCUUACGAUUUCCACUUUGUGAGUCAAGGUGAGAUCACAGUUCCCAGCAUUGAUGAUCAGGAGGAGCUGAUGGCCACAGAUAGUGCCAUUGACAUCCUGGGUUUCAGUGCUGAUGAGAAAACAGCCAUCUACAAGCUGACAGGGGCUGUCAUGCACUACGGGAACCUGAAGUUCAAGCAGAAACAGCGCGAGGAGCAGGCAGAGCCUGAUGGCACUGAAGUUGCUGACAAGGCUGCCUACCUGAUGGGUCUGAACUCAGCAGAUCUGCUCAAGGCCCUCUGCUACCCCCGUGUCAAGGUGGGGAAUGAAUACGUGACCAAGGGCCAAACUGUGCAGCAGGUGAACAAUUCAGUGGGUGCCCUGGCAAAGGCUGUCUAUGAGAAGAUGUUCCUGUGGAUGGUUGUUCGCAUCAACCAACAGCUGGACACGAAGCAGCCCAGGCAGUACUUCAUUGGUGUCCUGGACAUUGCUGGCUUUGAGAUCUUUGAUUUUAACAGCUUUGAGCAGCUGUGCAUCAACUUCACCAAUGAGAAACUGCAACAGUUCUUCAACCACCACAUGUUCGUGCUGGAGCAGGAGGAGUACAAGAAGGAGGGGAUUGAAUGGACAUUCAUUGACUUUGGCAUGGACCUGGCUGCCUGCAUUGAGCUCAUUGAGAAGCCCAUGGGUAUUUUCUCCAUCCUGGAAGAGGAGUGCAUGUUCCCCAAGGCAACUGACACCUCUUUCAAGAACAAGCUCUAUGACCAGCACCUGGGCAAGUCCAACAACUUCCAGAAGCCCAAGCCUGCCAAAGGCAAGGCUGAGGCUCACUUCUCCCUGGUGCACUAUGCUGGCACAGUGGACUACAACAUCACUGGCUGGCUGGAGAAGAACAAGGACCCUCUGAAUGAAACUGUCAUUGGGCUGUACCAGAAAUCAUCUGUUAAGACCCUGGCUUUACUCUUUGCGAAUUAUGGCGGAGCAGAUGCAGAGGCUGGUGGUGGCAAGAAGGGAGGCAAGAAGAAGGGUUCUUCCUUCCAGACUGUCUCAGCUCUUUUCCGGGAGAACCUCAACAAGCUGAUGACCAAUCUGCGGAGCACUCACCCCCAUUUUGUGCGCUGUAUCAUCCCCAAUGAGACUAAAACACCUGGUAAGCUGCUCAGGCAGGAAGAUCCUUGCUCUGAUCCAUCCAUUCCCCUCUGCACUGCAAUCUGUGCCAUUCAUUUGUGCUCUGCAUUGCCAGGUGCCAUGGAGCACGAGCUGGUGCUGCACCAGCUGCGCUGUAACGGCGUGCUGGAAGGGAUCAGGAUUUGCAGGAAAGGCUUCCCCAGCAGAGUCCUCUAUGCUGACUUCAAACAGAGAUACAAGGUGCUUAAUGCCAGUGCCAUCCCCGAGGGACAGUUCAUUGACAGCAAGAAGGCUUCUGAGAAGCUCCUUGGCUCAAUCGAUGUGGACCACACCCAGUACAAAUUUGGACACACCAAGGUGUUCUUCAAAGCUGGGCUGAUAGGGCUCCUGGAGGAGAUGAGGGAUGAGAAGCUGGCCCAGCUCAUCACCCGCACCCAGGCCAUGUGUAGGGGCUUCCUGGCGAGGGUGGCAUACCAGAGAAUGGUGGAGCGCAGACUGAGAAUACUCAUUGUACUUUUUAAUUAUGCCUCAGGCAUGAAUGUCAAACACUGGCCAUGGAUGAAGCUGUUCUUCAAGAUCAAGCCCUUGCUGAAGAGUGCAGAGUCUGAGAAGGAGAUGGCCAACAUGAAACAAGAGUUUGAGAAAACCAAGGAAGACCUUGCAAAGUCUGAGGCAAAGCGGAAAGAGCUGGAGGAAAAAAUGGUUUCUCUACUGAAGGAGAAAAAUGACCUGCAGCUCCAAGUGCAGGCUGAAGCAGACAGCUUGGCUGAUGCUGAGGAAAGGUGUGACCAGCUCAUCAAAACCAAAAUACAGCUGGAAGCCAAAAUUAAGGAAGUGACUGAAAGAGCAGAGGAUGAAGAGGAAAUUAAUGCUGAGCUGACAGCCAAGAAGAGGAAACUGGAGGAUGAAUGUUCAGAGCUGAAGAAAGAUAUUGAUGACCUUGAGCUAACACUGGCCAAGGUGGAGAAGGAAAAACACGCCACAGAAAACAAGGUGAAAAACCUGACUGAGGAGAUGGCAGGCCUGGAUGAGACCAUCGCCAAGCUGACCAAAGAGAAGAAAGCCCUCCAAGAGGCCCAUCAGCAGACCCUGGAUGACCUGCAGGCAGAGGAGGACAAAGUCAAUACUCUGACCAAAGCCAAAAUCAAGCUGGAACAGCAAGUGGAUGAUCUGGAAGGGUCCCUGGAGCAAGAGAAGAAACUGCGCAUGGACCUGGAGAGAGCAAAGAGGAAACUGGAAGGAGACCUGAAGCUGGCCCAGGACAGCAUCAUGGAUUUGGAGAAUGACAAGCAGCAGCUGGAUGAGAAACUGAAGAAGAAAGACUUUGAAAUCAGCCAGAUCCAGAGCAAAACUGAGGAUGAACAAGCCCUGGGCAUGCAACUUCAGAAGAAGAUCAAGGAGCUGCAGGCGCGCAUUGAGGAGCUGGAGGAGGAAAUUGAGGCAGAGCGAACCUCUCGAGCUAAAGCAGAGAAGCAUCGGGCUGACCUGUCCAGGGAGCUUGAGGAGAUCAGUGAGCGCCUGGAGGAAGCAGGAGGGGCCACAGCAGCUCAGAUUGAUAUGAACAAGAAGCGUGAGGCAGAGUUCCAGAAGAUGCGGCGGGACCUGGAAGAGGCCACGCUGCAGCACGAAGCCACGGCUGCCGCCCUGCGCAAGAAGCACGCGGACAGCACCGCUGAGCUGGGGGAGCAGAUCGACAACCUGCAACGUGUGAAGCAGAAGCUGGAGAAGGAGAAGAGUGAGAUGAAGAUGGAGAUUGAUGACUUGGCCAGCAACAUGGAGUCUGUCUCCAAAGCCAAGGCCAACCUGGAGAAGAUGUGCCGCACACUGGAAGAUCAGCUCAGUGAGCUUAAGACCAAGGAAGAAGAGCAUCUGCGCAUGAUCAACGACCUCAAUGCUCAAAGAGCUCGUCUGCAGACAGAGUCAGGUGAAUAUUCACGCCAGGUGGACGAAAAGGAUGCUUUGGUUUCUCAGCUGUCAAGAGGCAAACAGGCUUUCACCCAACAGAUUGAGGAACUCAAGAGGCAUCUGGAGGAAGAGAUAAAGGCCAAGAGCGCCCUGGCCCACGCCCUGCAGUCCGCUCGCCACGACUGUGACUUGCUCCGGGAACAAUAUGAGGAGGAGCAGGAGGCCAAGGGGGAGCUGCAGAGAGCCCUGUCCAAGGCCAAGGCCAACAGCGAGGUGGCUCAGUGGAGAACCAAAUACGAGACAGACGCCAUUCAGCGCACGGAGGAGCUCGAGGAGGCCAAGAAGAAGCUGGCCCAGCGUCUGCAGGAUGCAGAGGAACAUGUUGAGGCUGUCAACGCCAAAUGUGCCUCCCUGGAAAAGACAAAGCAGAGGCUGCAGAAUGAAGUGGAGGACCUGAUGAUUGAUGUGGAGAGAUCCAAUGCUGCCUGUGCUGCUCUGGAUAAGAAGCAGAAGAACUUUGACAAGAUCCUGGCAGAAUGGAAGCAGAAGUAUGAGGAAACACAGGCUGAGCUGGAGGCCUCGCAGAAGGAGUCGCGCUCUCUGAGCACGGAGCUGUUCAAGAUGAAGAAUGCCUAUGAGGAGUCCUUGGACCACCUGGAAACAAUGAAGCGGGAGAACAAGAACUUGCAGCAGGAGAUUUCCGACCUCACCGAGCAGAUUGCGGAGGGAGGGAAGGCGAUUCAUGAGCUGGAGAAAGUGAAGAAGCAGAUUGAGCAGGAGAAAUCUGAACUGCAAGCCUCCCUAGAGGAAGCUGAGGCCUCCCUUGAACAUGAGGAGGGGAAGAUCCUGCGCCUGCAGCUUGAGCUCAACCAAGUGAAGUCUGAGAUCGACAGGAAGAUAGCAGAGAAAGAUGAGGAGAUUGACCAGAUGAAGAGGAACCACCUCAGAAUUGUGGACUCCAUGCAGAGCACUCUGGAUGCUGAGAUCAGGAGCAGGAAUGAAGCCCUGAGGCUGAAGAAGAAGAUGGAGGGAGACCUGAAUGAGAUGGAGAUCCAGCUGAGCCAUGCCAAUCGCAUGGCUGCAGAGGCACAGAAGAACCUGAGAAACACCCAGGCAGUGCUGAAGGACACCCAGAUCCAUCUGGAUGAUGCUCUCAGGACACAGGAUGACCUGAAGGAGCAGGUGGCCAUGGUGGAGCGCAGAGCAAACCUGCUGCAGGCUGAAGUUGAGGAGCUCCGGGCAGCCCUGGAGCAGACGGAGAGGUCGAGGAAAAUGGCUGAGCAGGAGCUUCUGGAUGCAAGUGAGAGAGUUCAGCUCCUCCACACUCAGAACACCAGCUUGAUUAACACCAAGAAGAAGCUGGAAACAGACAUUGCCCAAAUCCAGGUGAAAUGGAGGAUACCAUCCAGGAAGCCCGCAAUGCUGAGGAGAAAGCCAAGAAGGCCAUCACAGAUGCGGCCAUGAUGGCAGAAGAGCUGAAGAAGGAGCAGGACACCAGUGCCCACCUGGAGAGGAUGAAGAAGAACCUGGACCAGACAGUGAAGGACCUGCAGCUUCGUCUGGAAGAGGCCGAGCAGCUGGCACUGAAGGGAGGGAAGAAGCAGAUCCAGAAGCUGGAGGCCAGGGUGCGGGAGCUGGAAGGGGAGGUUGAUGCUGAGCAGAAGCGCAGCGCUGAAGCUGUGAAGGGCGUGCGCAAGUACGAGCGGAGGGUGAAGGAACUGACCUACCAGUCUGAGGAAGACAGGAAGAAUAUUCUCAGGCUGCAGGAUCUGGUGGACAAGCUGCAAAUGAAAGUGAAAUCCUACAAGAGACAAGCUGAGGAAGCUGAGGAGCUGUCCAAUGUGAACCUCUCCAAGUUCCGCAAGAUCCAGCACGAGCUGGAGGAAGCCGAGGAGCGGGCUGACAUUGCAGAGUCACAGGUCAACAAGCUCCGAGUGAAGAGCCGGGAGUUUCACAGCAAGAAAAUAGCAGAGGAAGAAUGAGGAUGUCACAAGGCAGCAAAGUGACCUGAGGGCUACACAAAAUGUGAACCCUUUAUCCCUCCCUCCUGCAACAAGAGUUUAUAAAUUUGUCAGUGUCUAAGGGCUAAAGACCGUAGAUUUCUUUGCAUAAAAAGCAGUAGUUAUAUUUUAGUUGUGCUGUUAUUUAAG